CCUACGGGAGGCAGCAGUGAGGAAUAUUGGUCAAUGGGCGCUAGCCUGAACCAGCCAAGUAGCGUGAAGGAGGAAUGCACUGUGGGUUGUAAACUUCUUUUAUAUGGGAAUAAAGUGCAGUAUGUAUACUGCUUUGCAUGUACCUUAUGAAUAAGGAUCGGCUAACUCCGUGCCAGCAGCCGCGGUAAUACGGAGGAUCCGAGCGUUAUCCGGAUUUAUUGGGUUUAAAGGGAGCGUAGGCGGGUUGUUAAGUCAGUUGGGAAAGUGUGCGGCUCAACCGUAAAAUUGCAGUUGAUACUGGCAGCCUCGAGUACAGUAGAGGUAGGCGGAAUUCGCGGUGUAGCGGUGAAAUGCUUAGAUAUCACGAAGAACUCCGAUUGCGAAGGCAGCCUGCUGGAUUGUAACUGACGCUGAUGCACGAAAGCGUGGGUAUCAAACAGGAUUAGAUACCCUGGUAGUC
rnacentral:rRNA from 1 species